GAAUGAAUCUAACAAUGCCAUGGACUCUACACUGAAAUAUCUAACAUGAGUAAAAGAAGCAAAGAAGGUGAAUGGGGAAUCAGCCCAUGAGGAUGAACUGAAAACGCAGCUGUUUUUCAAAAAACUUGGGUUCUGGAACUCAUCAGGGAAGAGGACCUGAGUUUGGUGCCAAGCACCCACAUAGCAGGUCACACACAUUCAUAGCUCCAGGUCCAGGGAAUCUGAGGGCCUCUGCUGGUCUUCUAGGACACCAGACACACAAGUGGCACAGAAUCAAUCGUACAUGAAGAAAGCCACAUGGAAAUCUUUGCCAACUCUUGCUCUCCUGAAAUGCUGCUGGAAGGAAGGCAAAUGAGAGCUCUCCCCAAACAGAAGCACAGCUGCAAGUGAGGUGUCUGGCCAAGCCCUGGUCCUUUCUCUGGCUGCUUCCUGAAUUCAGCUUCCUUCUUCUGAAUAGUGUUGAUGAAUUAGCAUGGGGAGAGCAUGUGCUGGACUCUGGGCUUGUGCCUCCAGGGCUUGGAGCCAUAGCCUUCAGGAGCCAUGCUGUGUGGGCCAUUAAAC
rnacentral:lncRNA from 1 species